UUUUCUCUCUCUCUCUCUCUCUCUCUCCUUAUUUUAUUAUUUUAUGCCUGCAACACCCAUCUCACUUGGGGAUCUCGCUCGCUCGCUCUGCGUAUCCUUCAGAUUCAAACAUCCCGUUCUUUUGACCCUGCUGGGCCACUGAUCACAAACAUGGUGGACGACUCUCUCACUCUAUCCCUGCAGACCCCACCUCGAACAAGUGCUCCCUCCUCUCAUCGCUCUCCUGUCUCCACCUGCUGUCAAGAAUCCGCCUCUAGAACCCCACCGCGAAAGUCCAAGGCUGGGGCGCCAUUUGGCUGAGUGACAGCCGUCGCGGACUCUUGCUGCAGACAAGUUGAGGAAGUUGAGGAAGUUGAGAGUUGGUUCCAUGGUCGGCGGGAGCAGAAGCAGAAGCAGGAGCAGCAGCUGGAGUGUGUAGUUAAGUUUAAUCUCGAGGCUUUGGUGGAGUGCUUGAAGAGUAAUCCUCAAGUGCAUUCUGCGAGAGGACAGGGGCUGUUCAGGGAUUGAUUGGAAGGAACGAUGUUUGGUGAGCUGGUCUGGUUUAGUAUCUAUGUGCAGCGGAAUAUAAAGUCUGGCGCGAGGUUAGAGGCGCGGCUUUCAUUGCGAAGGUCGAGCGAUGUGUGUCGAGCAGUAGAGGAAGUAGACGAGGAGACGUGCGAGUCGUAGUUAAGAGGGGAAUGGAUGAUGACAGCGUCUGGGCAGUGCAAAAGCUUGUGCUUUUCUUUGUCGCUCAAUUCUUCCAAUAAGGGGUCACUUGAGCUGCUGGGAAGAGGCUUGGAAAGUGGCGGAGGGUGUGACGUAGUCACGGCGGAUAGCUCGUCUCCCGGUGUGGGAAAGGUGGAUCCACCCAAAGAGCGCGAGGUGGUUAUGGGUCGCGGGAAAAUAGAAAUUAAGAAGAUUGAGAAUCCCACCAGCAGGCAGGUCACAUUUUCUAAGAGACGCGGAGGGCUGCUCAAGAAGGCUCAUGAGCUGGCUGUGCUCUGCGAUGCCGAUGUGGCCCUCAUCAUUUUCUCCAGCACAGGAAAGCUGUUCGAAUUCGCCAGCUCAGGCAGCAUGCGCGACAUUCUGGAGCGAUAUAGUAAGUGCCCUGAUGGAUCCCAGACCGGCGUUAACAGUGACUUCCUGGGUCGGGAAGUGGUGAAGCUGCGACAGGAGUUGGAGCGGUUGCAGCAUUCUCAAAGACACAUGCUUGGUGAGGAUCUCCAAGUGUUAACUGUGCCUGACCUUCUGCAAUUGGAGCAGCAACUGGACAUGGGUGCUUCUCGAGUUCGAGCGAGGAAGAACCAACUUUUACUGGAAGAGAUUGAAGAGUUGCGUAGAAAGGAGCAUGACCUGCAUGCCGUAAACGAGGAGUUGCGUCAGAGGCUUGCGGACGUUAAGGGAAUGCUCAGCUUAGAAGCUGGCCCAGCCCGCGCUGCAACAUCAGGAAGCCCCGGUGGGCAAGGCGUUAGUGCUCCAACACAUGAAGUUGGCGGCAGCUCACAGCAACAGGCGGUCACAGUGUACCCCACACGUAUCAAUCUCCGAGACCCGCAGACUUCUCAAACCUCUCUACAUCUAGGGUUAUUUCCGGAAUCAUUCAUGCCGAGUACAAGCAGAAGGCCGUCCCAGCAAAGUCCAACUGAGCCCGAAGGUGAAUCUUCCAUGAGAUGGGAACAUUCACACUACAGAAGUCAGAAGUAGACUCCAUGCAAUCUUUCCACCACAAGGAAAACAGUAUAAGUUACAUUGUUCAUUUGGAAUAAGCACCGCGUGCUGGAGGAGAAUGAAUGUGGAUGGAUUUAGGUGCCAUCCUUGGCUAAGAGAUCCGAAACACUUAUUUAAAUUCCUCACACGUAUCCUGUUGUUGGCCAGGAUUUGCACUGGUCUCCAGACAGGCGUUUGCAGAUUCAUCUGCAAUGGCUUGCAUGAGUGGCUUGAAGGAAGCUUGCCGAAUAGAAGCUUGCAGUAUUCUUCAGCAAUGUUCGACCCAACUCUGGUAGUGCUUUUACAGUGUGACUUCUACAUCUCUUCCACAUACAUCCGAAUUCAAUUAGUCCCUUGAAGGUGCUGCCUUGUUUGUGUGUCUCCAUACAAUGGACUUGCAAACAAGUUGGCACCUAUGGUAGGGAAACGAAUUCACUGUUAGAAUAGCGGCCAUUGUUGCAUGGUAAUUGUAAGCAAUUCAACCAUUUUUUUGCUGUAAAGCAACAUUUCCAACUUUGUAGAAUUAACUACAAAGUCUGUAGUCA